rnacentral:rRNA from 1 species
AGUGAACGCUGGCGGUAGGCCUAACACAUGCAAGUCGAACGGCAGCACAGUAAGAGCUUGCUCUUACGGGUGGCGAGUGGCGGACGGGUGAGGAAUACAUCGGAAUCUACUUUUUCGUGGGGGAUAACGUAGGGAAACUUACGCUAAUACCGCAUACGACCUACGGGUGAAAGCAGGGGAUCUUCGGACCUUGCGCGAUUGAAUGAGCCGAUGUCGGAUUAGCUAGUUGGCGGGGUAAAGGCCCACCAAGGCGACGAUCCGUAGCUGGUCUGAGAGGAUGAUCAGCCACACUGGAACUGAGACACGGUCCAGACUCCUACGAGAGGCAGCAGUGGGGAAUAUUGGACAAUGGGCGCAAGCCUGAUCCAGCCAUACCGCGUGGGUGAAGAAGGCCUUCGGGUUGUAAAGACCUUUUGUUGGGAAAGAAAAGCAGCAGGUUAAUACCCCGCUGUUCUGACGGUACCCAAAGAAUAAGCACCGGCUAACUUCGUG